GACGAACCGGACAAACGUUAUUCGGAAUUACUGGGCUUAAAGGGUUUGUAGGCGGCCUUGUAAGUCAGGUGUGAAAUCCCUCGGCUCAACCGAGGAAUAGCGCUUGAUACUGCAAGGCUUGAGGGAGACAGGGGUAAGCGGAACUGAUGGUGGAGCGGUGAAAUUCGUAGAUAUCGCGAGGAACACCAGUGGCGAAGGCGGCUCUCUGGGCAGGUACCGACGCUGAGACGCGAAAGCGUGGGAAGCAAACAGG
rnacentral:rRNA from 1 species